rnacentral:rRNA from 1 species
AGUAACGCGUGAGGAACCUGCCUUUCAGAGGGGGACAACAGUUGGAAACGACUGCUAAUACCGCAUAAUACGCGGGUGUCGCAUGGCAUCUGCGUCAAAGAUUUAUCGCUGAAAGAUGGCCUCGCGUCUGAUUAGCUAGUUGGUGAGGUAACGGCCCACCAAGGCGACGAUCAGUAGCCGGACUGAGAGGUUGGCCGGCCACAUUGGGACUGAGAUACGGCCCAGACUCCUACGGAAGGCAGCAG